UACGAAGGGGGCUAGCGUUGUUCGGAAUUACUGGGCGUAAAGCGCACGUAGGCGGAUAUUUAAGUCAGGGGUGAAAUCCCAGAGCUCAACUCUGGAACUGCCUUUGAUACUGGGUAUCUUGAGUAUGGAAGAGGUUAGUGGAAUUGCGAGUGUAGAGGUGAAAUUCGUAGAUAUUCGCAGGAACACCAGUGGCGAAGGCGGCUAACUGGUCCAUAACUGACGCUGGAG
rnacentral:rRNA from 1 species